GAGCACAUGCCGAGGAUUCCCAUAACUUGACAGACCCACCUGUAAUACAUAUUGGAACAGAGAGAGAGAGAGAACGCACACAGAAAAUAAGUGUCUACUAAUCACACAAGACCAAGGUGACACUGGAAAGUCUCAGCUAGUGACUUUCACAGUUUAGACCCAUUUUUGUCCUGCUCUGCUUUAAGGUAAUGUUUAUUAUUUCCAUUAUUUAGAAAAGGGCCCCAGCAGGAGCUUUGCCACAACACAAUAUAUGUUAUGCCUCCCCUACACCAAGUGAAUGCUAGAUGGUGCCACUACUGACAGCAGUAAAUCCCAGAUUACCUUCACUAGUACCUGACUCCAGCAUAGCAGUCCUAGGCCUCUGAUGACACCCAUCAGGCCAAGUUUCCAUAUGCUUGUUGACUAGUUGAUUUGGAAAUUAUCAAACAUUUUAAUGGACUGGACCUAUGUCCACCUACCCCAACUCUUUGUAUGGGGCAGACCCUGGUUUGGAUUUUGCAAAACCACAGCAGAUCAGAUAUGGUUUUAGAGAAACAUCAGAAGUUUGGGGGAGGCAGGGAACAGAAAGUAAUUUUGAAAAUGAUCACCUCUGGUAUGGGGUGGGCCCAUACUCCCUACCCCCACCCCCACCACUGGGCACAAAGCAUGUGAAAUGGGAUUUUCAAAGAAGCCUAAAUGAGAUAGGCACUUAACUUCCAUCAGUCUGUUGAAAAAUCCCAGCUGUUAGAAAGAAAAGAUUUUGUAUUUUCUGAAGUGUUUAGAAAGAAAAAAUAAACUAAUUUUAAAGUGUCA